CCAGACUCCUACGGGAGGCAGCAGUGGGGGAUAUUGGACAAUGGGGGGAACCCUGAUCCAGCGACGCCGCGUGAGUGAAGAAGUAUUUCGGUAUGUAAAGCUCUGUCAGCAGGGAAGAAAGCAAUGACGGUACCUGACCAAGAAGCCCCGGCUAACUACGUGCCAGCAGCCGCGGUAAUACGUAGGGGGCAAGCGUUAUCCGGAUUUACUGGGUGUAAAGGGAGCGUAGACGGCAGCACAAGUCUGGAGUGAAAUGCCGGGGCUUAACCCCGGAACUGCUUUGGAAACUGUGCAGCUAGAGUGCAGGAGAGGUAAGUGGAAUUCCUAGUGUAGCGGUGAAAUGCGUAGAUAUUAGGAGGAACACCAGUGGCGAAGGCGGUCUGCUGGACAGCAACUGACGCUGAGGCGCGAAAGCGUGGGGAGCAAACAGGAUUAGAUACCCGAGUACC
rnacentral:rRNA from 1 species